AACCAAGGCAUUCCUAGCACAGGGGAUGGCUCCUGCAGUGCACAUUCGUACAGUGAUCCCUGUGUGCGCAGCCCCGCCUGCAAGGCCUCUAUCAUUGAAUCUUCCAUCACCACAGAUGAAAGAAGCCUCACAAUCACAACAAUCCUCGGCCUCAGUCUCCAUAAAAACAGUACAAGGAGAGCCUUCAUCAGCGAGCUUAGAUCUCAACAGGUUACAGUUAUGAAAAUCAAGGACAAUAUAAUCGACUGGUUUUCAACCCAUGAUUAUCAUAUUGUGCAAGUUUUUGAUUGAUGAAUCUUUCUAUAAAACCCUUUUUAAUUUAAUUUUCUUUGCAGCUAUGAAUCCAUGAUAUUCUUUUCAUG